GGGAGUGUAGCUCAGCCUGGGAGAGCGCACGGCUGAAGACCGUGGUGUCGGGAAUUCAAAUUUCCCCACUCCCA
rnacentral:tRNA from 1 species